AAAUAAAACAAUGUACAAUUGAGGUUGGAUUUCUUUCCAUGCGGAUAUGAUAGAUGUGAGAAUCGUGCCACUGUACAUAGCUAUGAACCUGGUGACAUUGUACAAUUCAACAUAAAAUAAGGACAUAUGGGGAUUGCACGUAGACAAACUCAACAACUAGGAUACACCAAACUGAGAUAGCACAUGACUGCCAUAGUCCCAAUCAAUGAUGGGAACAUGCCAACUUCUGAUAUUUAAGCACAUGUCCAGCUUUCAGCACACAUAACAUAACUAUAUAUCACCAAGGGCACCAAAGUUUGUUCCGGUAGAAACAAGGUAACAACAAUUUGAAUCACCAUGCGUGGGUACCAAGCUUGUUUCCACCAUGGUAUGGAUGCAAGGUCUGCUCGUGCAACAUGAUGAAUGGUAUAGGACUGUGAGGUUUCGGGAAAGAAGUUGCGAGAUGUUAGCCCAUUUGUGGAUAACCGCACCAAGUUACACCAUAGGUCAUGAGACAUUCAUCCACUACUAUUCUCUCUACCGCUUCUGAUAGAGAGAUCAUGUCAUGAACCGAAGACAAUCAGUGAAAGCUAUGUCAACGACCUGUAUAGAUGAGAAGUCUGGGUAUUUGACUCACAUUUUUUAUACCCCGCAACAAUGGAUAAGAGUAGCA
rnacentral:lncRNA from 1 species